rnacentral:rRNA from 1 species
AUGCAGUCGAGCGGUAGCACAGAGAGCUUGCUCUCGGGUGACGAGCGGCGGACGGGUGAGUAAUGUCUGGGAAACUGCCUGAUGGAGGGGGAUAACUACUGGAAACGGUAGCUAAUACCGCAUAACGUCGCAAGACCAAAGUGGGGGACCUUCGGGCCUCAUGCCAUCAGAUGUGCCCAGAUGGGAUUAGCUAGUAGGUGGGGUAACGGCUCACCUAGGCGACGAUCCCUAGCUGGUCUGAGAGGAUGACCAGCCACACUGGAACUGAGACACGGUCCAGACUCCUACGGGAGGCAGCAGUGGGGAAUAUUGCACAAUGGGCGCAAGCCUGAUGCAGCCAUGCCGCGUGUAUGAAGAAGGCCUUCGGGUUGUAAAGUACUUUCAGCGGGGAGGAAGGCGAUAAGGUUAAUAACCUUGUCGAUUGACGUUACCCGCAGAAGAAGCACCGGCUAACUCCGUGCCAGCAGCCGCGGUAAUACGGAGGGUGCAAGCGUUAAUCGGAAUUACUGGGCGUAAAGCGCACGCAGGCGGUCUGUCAAGUCGGAUGUGAAAUCCCCGGGCUCAACCUGGGAACUGCAUUCGAAACUGGCAGGCUAGAGUCUUGUAGAGGGGGGUAGAAUUCCAGGUGUAGCGGUGAAAUGCGUAGAGAUCUGGAGGAAUACCGGUGGCGAAGGCGGCCCCCUGGACAAAGACUGACGCUCAGGUGCGAAAGCGUGGGGAGCAAACAGGAUUAGAUACCCUGGUAGUCCACGCCGUAAACGAUGUCGAUUUGGAGGUUGUGCCCUUGAGGCGUGGCUUCCGGAGCUAACGCGUUAAAUCGACCGCCUGGGGAGUACGGCCGCAAGGUUAAAACUCAAAUGAAUUGACGGGGGCCCGCACAAGCGGUGGAGCAUGUGGUUUAAUUCGAUGCAACGCGAAGAACCUUACCUGGUCUUGACAUCCACAGAACUUUCCAGAGAUGGAUUGGUGCCUUCGGGAACUGUGAGACAGGUGCUGCAUGGCUGUCGUCAGCUCGUGUUGUGAAAUGUUGGGUUAAGUCCCGCAACGAGCGCAACCCUUAUCCUUUGUUGCCAGCGGUUCGGCCGGGAACUCAAAGGAGACUGCCAGUGAUAAACUGGAGGAAGGUGGGGAUGACGUCAAGUCAUCAUGGCCCUUACGACCAGGGCUACACACGUGCUACAAUGGCAUAUACAAAGAGAAGCGACCUCGCGAGAGCAAGCGGACCUCAUAAAGUAUGUCGUAGUCCGGAUUGGAGUCUGCAACUCGACUCCAUGAAGUCGGAAUCGCUAGUAAUCGUAGAUCAGAAUGCUACGGUGAAUACGUUCCCGGGCCUUGUACACACCGCCCGUCACACCAUGGGAGUGGGUUGCAAAAGAAGUAGGUAGCUUAACCUUCGGGAGGGCGCU